CUAUUUCAAAUUUCAAGUUUUAAUACCAUCCAGAAUUCCAAAGGACUAAUGAUGAAAUAGGCUACCCAAGUCUUUACAGAGAGGUGAUGGGCUUGAGAUGUAGAAUGAAAUCUGCAUUUUUGGACACAGUCAACAUGGAAAUUUGUUUUGCUAGACUACUGUUAGGAGAGGAUUUGGAAACUUCUUUGCUCAUUCUGGUAAUUGGCCCAUAUAUGCCCACUCUGCUUUCUUGGAACCUCAUCAAGUUGUUCCUGCAGUUCUGGAAGCCUGGUGCUCUGGAAGCUAGGGGGCGAAGUGGAUGGAGCAUGAGGUUUGGAGUCAGGACGACCCGAGUUCUAAUCUGGAUCCAGAUGUCGGGGUGGUCUUGGGCAAGUCACUUAACCCUGUUUGCUUCAUUUUUCUCAUAUGUAAAAUGAGCUGGGGAAGGAAAUGGCAAAUCUUUCUAUAGUAUCUUUGCCAGGAAAGUCCCAAAUGAGGUCACAGACUCAGACAUGACAGAAACUACUGAACAACAAUAAAAGCAAUGUUUAAUAAUUUGGAACA
rnacentral:lncRNA from 1 species